rnacentral:rRNA from 1 species
AGGGAAACCGAGUCUUAACUGGGCGUUAAGUUGCAGGGUAUAGACCCGAAACCCGGUGAUCUAGCCAUGGGCAGGUUGAAGGUUGGGUAACACUAACUGGAGGACCGAACCGACUAAUGUUGAAAAAUUAGCGGAUGACUUGUGGCUGGGGGUGAAAGGCCAAUCAAACCGGGAGAUAGCUGGUUCUCCCCGAAAGCUAUUUAGGUAGCGCCUCGUGAACUCAUCUUCGGGGGUAGAGCACUGUUUCGGCUAGGGGGUCAUCCCGACUUACCAACCCGAUGCAAACUGCGAAUACCGAAGAAUGUUAUCACGGGAGACACACGGCGGGUGCUAACGUCCGUCGUGAAGAGGGAAACAACCCAGACCGCCAGCUAAGGUCCCAAAGUCACAGUUAAGUGGGAAACGAUGUGGGAAGGCUCAGACAGCCAGGAUGUUGGCUUAGAAGCAGCCAUCAUUUAAAGAAAGCGUAAUAGCUCACUGGUCGAGUCGGCCUGCGCGGAAGAUGUAACGGGGCUAAACUGUGCACCGAAGCUGCGGCAGCGACGCUUAUGC